rnacentral:rRNA from 1 species
UACAUGGGGUGCAAACGUUGCUCGGAAUUAUUGGGCGUAAAGCGCACGUAGGUGGUCUGUUAUGUCAGAUGUGAAAGCCCUCGGCUUAACUGAGGAAGUGCACCUGAAACUGGCAGGCUUGAGUACGAAAGAGGGUCGCGGAAUUCCCGGUGUAGAGGUGAAAUUCGUAGAUAUGGGGAGGAACACCGGUGGCGAAGGCG